rnacentral:sRNA from 1 species
UCCACAGCCCUCUGCUCUGAGGUCUCCCUUUAAUUUUUCUUUCGUGUUUUCAAACAUAGUCACGGCUGUAACGGAUCUAGUCCUUCUGCCCCAAACACUGUAGCUGUGAGCCUCUGGCCAAGCGGACUGUGCUCACUUCCUGACGUUAUCACCAUAUUAUUCUUUCCGUAUUAUUCUUUCUGAGUCAUUUUGCUGGUUUCCUUCUCAAACACAAGGGGUCAAGUCUCCAACUCUUCCUUUCAAAUCCAGACGUUGUACAGUUGCCAACAUGGACUGUCCUAUGUAUGUAUGUAUGUAUGUAUGUAUGUAUGUAUGUAUGUAUGUAUGUGUGUGUGUGUGUGUUUUUUUCCCCCCUCCUUUUCUUGUGGGUAUCAGUAUUAUUCUUUGAGUUGUACAAGAACUCAGUAGAGCCUCCCUGCUUUUCUUUCUGGUUCUUGAGGGAAGGAAUAAAAGUGGCUUCCAUAGGCAGAACACUUAACAGCCGUCACUUCUCAUACUCUGUACCUCUUGGCAGGGGACCUGAUGUGCUCGGGUCUCCUUUUGUUAAACACCUUGCUGUCAGUUGCUUAGGACAAGGUCUUGGGACAAGGUCUUACCAAAGAAAUCUUAACACUUUACUGCUUACCACUUGUGUGGCCUUCUCAAGGGACCUCAGAGCAGCCAUACCUGUACUUAGGGGUUUAUUUUCUAGUCACGCAUGGGUUUCCCCAUGGCUGUAGGAAUCUGGACACCUGCACUGUGUAAAUAAAUGUUAUAACAAUGGGAGAUGAUACUCAGGUUAUCUGAGAUCAGAUUUCUUUUGUAAACCGAGCUUUUCAUUCAAAGGGAACGAUACUACACUGUGUCUGGAUGAGGCCUUCUGUCUGAGGCCCCUUGCUUCCCUGUGUAAGCUCUCUUAAAAACCCAUCUGUCUGCUCGCUCUUGAGAGCUGCCGCAUGGGUGCUGGGAGGAAGGACGCGGAGUUAAUGGAGCUUGCUCUUCGAGCCUGCACUGCACCAUGGAAUAUGUUAUCGGAUUACCCAGUGUUUUCCCUUAUCUCACGAGAACGGCCAGGAGGCUUUGGGAGCUGCUUCGUGGAUCGGAGUACAAAUCCGGGGCAGAGGCCUGCUGACCAGAGGGCACAGAUGAAAAUAAACGACUGACCCCGAGAAGUUGCAAUAAUUACUAGUUUUGUUUACUGUUGCCCAUCUCACCAAUCACCUGGGGCAGCUGUUUUUAUUACAACUGCUGUAUUGAUAACAUCAGAAAUGGUGGGCGGGAGAACCACAGCACACAGAGGUUAUUUGAAGUGGAUAGUGUAGUAUGUAUGAUUCUUUCUGGGCUUUUCUUUUUUUGUUCUCUUUCUCUUUACUUUUGGAGACAAGGUCUUGCUAUGCAGCCCAGGCUGACCUCAAACUAACAGUAGUCCUCCUGCCCCCGUCUCCCAAGGGCUGGGAUUACAGGCCUGAGCUUUUGAUAAUACAGUGCUAUGAAGAUCUCCUGUUUUCUGAAAGAAGUGAAAAAGAGGGUGAAGGCGUCGGCAUGGAGGCAGGGGCCUGACCCACAGCUAAGACCAGUGUGCUGCUGUGUUCAGGUACCACUGGGAGGAUACCCCUUCCUAGUGCCCUCCGGCUUCACACACAGCCUUCUAUCCUCCUUUCUAUCCUCUUAUCAGCCAUGUCGGCCAAGAGAAACCUUGCAGGGGAGGCAAGAGCAUUCUGUGCUCUCUGACAGAACACAGUGAACUAAAGGGGGGCUCUGACCCUGGGGACCACAGGCUGGGAAGGUAGAGGACCUUGCUUGUUCUUGCUCUGCUAUGGGUGGUUGUUCUCAGACUGUUUCUCGUCUGCAAAGUCCAAACCUUCCUCCUGGAGGGAGAGUCUGCCCGUCAGCAGCUAGAACACAGGACUGACUACCUGUGAUCUCACGGGGAGGGGCAGAGCAGGUGCUCAGCUCUUUACGAGAUGCUAGCACGUUUGCUAGCUCACCUUACCUCUCCGAGUCAUUACCGAGUGACUGGAUCUGCUCAAGGAAGUCGAGCAGCUGACACUUGCUGAAUGAUCUGAGUGCACUUCAAACGCAUGGAUACACGGAUUUGCUUAGGGGAACAGCCCUGCUCGGCCAGAUCCUGCCAGUACACAAGCGGUGAUUCAGUCAAGGGCCACAGCACAGCAUGGCCAGGACAUUCUGCCUACCGGGUUACUGGAAUAUGAAAUUUGAACACGAGGUCAACUUCCCAGAACUUUGGAACAGAUGCUACCUUGUGGCUAGGAACAUUCACACCGUGUCAGCCAUAUAAUAUGUGAGGUUAACUGGGCAGAGUUAGAAAGUUCUGUAGGCUUUGAGCCGGCUUUAAAAAUAUUUAAAAGCCUGUGAGUUUUCUCUUUUUAAAUUUAAUUUUCUUUCUACUUUUAUUCACACAUUCCUUUAUUUGCUUCUACAGAGUCUACUGUGGACAGACACUGCUGGGAAUCAGAACACAGAACAUGCCCUGUUCCCCUCAAGCAAGGCAGAGCUGCUGGGAAGUCCAGACAGAAGGAGAGAGAAACAUUCCAGGGGCAUACGGUGCACACCUUUAAUCUCAGCACUUGGGAGAGAGCAUCAGGCAGAUAGAACUCUGCAAGUUCGAGGUCAGGCUUGGGUCUAUCUAGCCAGUUCUAGGCUAACACAGUGAGACCCUGUCACAAACAAGUGUCUUGGUGUGUUCAAGAUGUGAAGGGAGAGAGACAGCAGAGACAUCCAAAGACAGAGCUUUCCCUCAGUACUGCUCCCUUCACACACAGUAAGAGCACACUCACGUCGACAAAACGAAACUACACCUAAGGCUCUGGGGACAUUGCAAAGAGGGGGUAGAAAGAUUGUAAGAGCCAGGGGACAGGAGUUCUGUGAGGCUGUGUCUCCUAGUAACAUCAGAAGCUACACUUGUAAAGUCUCACCGAUAUCACUGCCUAAACAUGACCUGAACCAGGAGGACACCAAUGGGCAUGCCAACCAAAUGGGAGGAGUCCAAUGAAGCCUGAACCCUACCCAAAGAAUUAUAGGCAACUGAGUGAAGCUGGAGUGAGACAGGUGGCCCUCCCCAGGGAAAAGCACGCCACCUAGUCAUUUAGUGUGGAAUGAUCAGCCCCAAAAACAUAACCCAAGUAACAGUGUACGGACUCAACAGGAUAUCUAUAUAUCUAUAUCUAUAUCUAGAUUCAUCUAUGCACGAAAUAUCAAUUGAUGAAACAAGAGGUUGUGAAUUUGGAGUAGGAAGGAGUAACUGGGAAGGUGUGGAGGGAGUCCAGGCGAAGGAGAAACAUUGUAACUAGAAUACAAGCUCAAAACUAAAGGAGAACAUUGUAACUAGAACACAAGCUCAAAAGUAAAGGAGAAACAUUGUAACUAGAAUACAAGCUCAAAAGUAAAGGAGAAACAUUGUAACUAGAACACAAGCUCAAAAGUAAACAGCAACAAAAAGAGUAAAAGCUUGCUUGCUAACAAUCCUGCAAGACAACCCAGCCAUUACUUUGAGCCUCAGGCUCCCCCUACCCUACCGCCUCCACAGGUGUGCACAGUGCCCCUAGACACCACCUGGCCCAAGUCUAGCUCCUAUCAGAGAUAAACUCAGCGAGCACCUCUUAGUGACUUCCACUGUCACCAUCUCCUAAUCAUGUUCCUCUUUUGCUCCACUCAAUGCUACCAGCCAGGAGGGAGUGCAGUCCAUUGGUUUGUAUUGCACAUCUUCUUCAAGAAAACCUCUCCCAAGGGUAGGAAGUCUCAUUGCUUCACUGCUACAAUCCUUUCAUCUGGAAAAGCACUCGAUGUAAAUUCAGUAAAUAUGUGUGGACUGAGUGUGCAAGGUGCAGCCUUCUGGAGUUAUCUGGAGGGCAAGGGGAAGCCCUGGGCACCUUUAACCGGGGCCAGAGUGAGACAACUCAUCUGCUUUCCAGGAUAACACUUCUGCUGGCGACAAUGACAGAAUGGUGGAUGACUAGGGGAGGAAGGGAGAGACCGGGGGCAGGAAGUUCCAUUAGGAGGUCACUACCCAGUGGUGACAGCUUAAUACAGGCAGUGGCAGUGAAGGCAGAGGGGGAAAGAAUUUGAGAAAGCUUCUAGGGGUGAAACGUCAGGCUAAAAUGCAAAGUUAUGAUUCUAUGCAUCAAGCUCUGGAAAACACUUUGGCACCAGCAUCACCAUUUUUCCCAUACAACAAUCCCUUAGCCUAAAAGCAGUCCUAAUCUCCAUGCAAAGAACUCUUAAAGCUCUGCACACAGAGCGCAGGCUGGACUCCAGCAAGGGGAGUACAACUGGUCAGGCUGCAGCAGGCUGUGCUUGGUAAUGGUGUCUGUUACCCAUCUUGGAAGCCGGUGGGUACUCACUCGGCCUUUGACCUCAGGACAACAUUGCAAUAUUCCUCUUAUGUUUCAAGGCCCUUGCUGUUUCAUGUGUCCUCCUGUCCUUCCUGUCUCUGGUCAGUGCAGUGAGUGCCUGGGUACACACACAGCUCUGCUCAGUGCCAACCUGCCAUUCAUGUGACCACACCUCUCGCAUUGCUCAGUUCUUUUCCGAGGCUCACUUCUGCACUGACUUAGUGUGGGGUGGGAAUGUCUGGGAAGCCUUGCCAAACUCAUUUAUAAGUCAGUCCCCAUCUCCUUUCUGUGUCACUUACGAGCCAGCACGCCUUCCUAUGUGACAGAGCCAUUCUCAGGUAUGAAGGAACUCAGGAAAGUUUACCACUAUCUAUCUACCGUUCUUGAGAAGAGAAUUACUUGAAAACACGUCCUAGGCAACUGAGAAAUUAUUGUAUCAAACUGCAUAAUGGAAGCGACUGAGAAGCAGAGACUGGGACUUUCUCCUGGACUCCCAUCCACCGGCAGGGACGAGAGAUCCAGAGUUGCAGCAAGGUGAGCCCUCAGUACAGGCUGACGGGCCAUGGAGACAUGUAGAUAGUGUGUAAUGGAAAGGAUUGUGCCCUGGACCUGCUACCCUCUGCUAGGUUAGCAAUCCCGUAACUGCAACCUCUCUGCAGAUGCGUCUCCCUUAAGAGUUUCCGUCACAUUCAGAAGUCCAGUUGAAUAUGAUUAUAGCUGAGUUAAAAAUAAAACUAAGCAGUGUCUGUGGCUAUGAGAACAGGUCUGGGAUGGCCCUCUGUGUUGUAGGCAGCUCCCUGGGCUAUCAAGUUAACCCGCCAGGCUUCAGUGUCUCUUCACAGCAGCACACAAGCCCCUCAUGACUGGCUCUGCCCCUUUCUAAGACCAUCAAGCACAUCACCUUCGUCUCAGACCCUCCCUACAGUUCAGUGAGAGUCUGUGCAGCUUUUUGGAGUGACAGGUAGGACUCAUCUUGCUCUCCAUGGUCUCAUUUCCCUGCCUUCUCCCUUCCCCAUGGCCCCUGCAGACAGCUGCAGUCACGGAAGCCUACAAAGACAGAUCAACACUGGCUUACAGGCAUAAAUACCCACCUAUGCUGGGCUCAGUUCUCCCUCUGCUCUUCAUGGGUCUGUCAAUGAAGGGCCUAUCUUUUGUCCCUGCUUCUGCCACAUAAUGAGAACUAGGGUUGAGGAGCACACAGAGUAUGCACAUCUAAGUAAUCCACGCUCCAUGAACAUGGCACAAACACUCUACCAACAGUAAGGCUCUGCAAGCUCAGGGCUAUCAACCGCUGGCCCUUCCCCUCUGGCGUGAACAGUACCUGCUCUGGGACCGCAGCUCACCAGUGCCACCAGAGAGCUGAGUGGCUCAUUUGUGCUGUUUCCCAAGGGAACACAUGCUAGGCCAGGUCACACAGAAUGAGGCCGCAUGAAUGAAUCCGUUCCAGCUUGUACACCUAGGCGGUUUUCUUUGUGCUAAAACCCAACCUGACAAAACCCUGGUCUCCAAAUUCUUCCUCUUCCGAGCCCCCACCUCCACCUCUUUGUCUUGGCCUCCCUGUGUGUGACCCAGGAACAAAAAGCGGCUUGUGUUACUGGAAGAGGAGGCUUCACGGAAAUGCAAAAAACAACAUUAACCUUUUCCCGUGAUUGCUUUUAACACACCGGGUGUCUAUAAACCUGGGGAGAUCAGGAAGAAAUUAGUUCAAAAUGUAGACAAUAAUAAUUUUUUUUUAAAAAGGGCCUUCUCAUCUUUAAAACCUGGAGAUGGUAUAUUUUCAUCCUUGAGAAGCAAUUCAAAAGCACCCAUGCUGGGCCCCACCCCCUCCUGGGCAGCCCUUUCUUCUCUGCCGGUUGACUGUUCCCAGAGUGUCUGCCCACUUGUGCAUGCUGGAAGAAGCAGCAGCAGCAGCAGCAGCAGCAGCAGCAGCAGCAGCAGCAGCAGCAGCAGCAGCAGCAAAACAGCAGCGGCGGCAGCAGCAAUAAUACAGACUCACACACCCACACCUCCCAAUGCUGGGGCUGGGGCUUCAGAGACGGGCACUUUGUUAAUUCUGCCUCGGUGCCAAGCUUCCUCCCUUAGAGGUCUUGAGGCUGUGCUAGCCUAGACAGAGAGGCUCUUUAUGACGAUGACCAGAAACAAUCAGACAGAAUGAACAAAGGGAUUACAAAUUAAUCGGCUCUCGCUGGCUCCUCCGACUGCAGAGAUAUGAUUACAAGCCCCGGAUUUGCAAGAGACCUACAUUCCUCAUUAAUCUCCACCAUCGGCUCGCCACCGUGGGCUUUCCCUUUUCUUCCUUUUUAAAAGCCCCUUUCUAAAAGGCAGGGAACGGAGGGUGCGCCAGCUAUGCUCUUUCUUUGCUCAGCAGUAACUGAAAAAUAUGUCCUUAACAUUUCACAAAGCAGAUCGUCCCUGCACUGAAACCAGUAAAGUGUGGAGGAGAAAUGGCGCGUGUCCUUUCUGUCUCCGUCUGGCUAAGUUAAUGAAUUUAAGCAUGGAUAACUUUAACCCACAUCUUCUUCAGAGAAAGAGCAUCUGAUAGCCCAGAACAACUGCAGGCUCCCAGAGGCCCCCGCUCCUUCACAAUUCACCCCCCACCCUCCUUGUAUAUUUUGGCCAUUCAACAACAGAGAACGGGUUGGUCAGUCUAAAGCGUCUUUCCUGUGCCUCUGCUCCAGGGCCACUUGGACCUGGAGCCUCCGAGAGCAGACUCUGGCCUCUUCAAUCCAGGUUUGCUGUGUGGGUCAGUGCUACAGCGUGCUCGAGAAGCAACAGAAGCGUCUCUCCUUCUCAGACAUCUGCAAGCCCUAUUUGGGCACAGGCCCUGCCAAUGGAGUCAUGACACAUGCACCUACUGAGACAGGACAUACUCCAUGACCUCAGGGGACUGGAACUGGAUACCAGCUGUUUAGCACAUCAAGGUUGGUGAACAGGUCACGGCAAUUCUAAGUUCUGCAUUCCCCUGGCUAAACACCUCGGCAGAAGGCUGAGCACAGGGCUUAGGAGGGCAGCUGGACAGGACUCCUGUAAGGCGAGGCUAAAGCCGAGCCCAGAGGACGCCCAUUUCUCAGGUCUGUGUGCUUACCUGGGUACGGCACUCUGCCUUUGGUGACCAGCUCUGUGAGUAAGAUUCCAAAGGACCACACGUCAGACUUGAUUGUGAACCUUCCAUACAGGGCCGCUUCGGGGGCUGUCCACUUAAUGGGAAACUUUGCACCUGCGGAACGGAACGGAGACCUGGUUACUCGUCAGGCAGUUCCAGGUCCUGACAGGUCUUGGCCCUUGGCUCUCAGCUUCAGGACAACACAGACUGCCCGCAACUCCUGCCGCCCUCUAGCACCAAUAACUCCUGCUGCUCUCCCCUCCAGUGUAUGCAUCUGAAGAUGGUCGUGAAGACAAGAAAGAAGAAACAGUACUCCAAGAGGGACGGGUAGAAUCUUCUGUUUGGAAAUAAAGUCACGGAAAUGUUGAA